rnacentral:rRNA from 1 species
UACGAAGGGGGCUAGCGUUGCUCGGAAUUACUGGGCGUAAAGCGCACGUAGGCGGUCUUUUAAGUCGGGGGUGAAAUCCUGGAGCUCAACUCCAGAACUGCCUUCGAUACUGGAAGACUUGAGUCCGGAAGAGGUAAGUGGAACUCCGAGUGUAGAGGUGAAAUUCGUAGAUAUUCGGAAGAACACCAGUGGCGAAGGCGGCUUACUGGUCCGGUACUGACGCUGAGGUGCGAAAGCGUGGGGAGCAAACAGG